GAUGAACGCUGGCGGCGUGCCUAAUACAUGCAAGUCGAGCGAACAGAUAAGGAGCUUGCUCCUUUGACGUUAGCGGCGGACGGGUGAGUAACACGUGGGUAACCUACCUAUAAGACUGGAAUAACUCCGGGAAACCGGGGCUAAUGCCGGAUAACAUGUUGAACCGCAUGGUUCUACAGUGAAAGGCGGCUUUGCUGUCACUUAUAGAUGGACCCGCGCCGUAUUAGCUAGUUGGUGAGGUAACGGCUCACCAAGGCAACGAUACUUAGCCGACCUGAGAGGGUGAUCGGCCCCACUGGAACUUAGACACGGUCCAGACUCCUACGGGAGGCCGCAGUAGGGAAUCUUCCGCAAUGGGCGAAAGCCUGACGGAGCAACGCCGCGUGAGUGAUGAAGGUCUUCGGAUCGUAAACCUCUGUUAUUAGGGAAGAACAAAUGCGUAAGUAACUGUGCGCGUCUUGACGGUACCUAAUCAGAAAGCCACGGCUAACUACGUG
rnacentral:rRNA from 1 species